CAAGUAUUUCUGGGAACAAUAAUAACACUGAACUGAGGAGCAGAGGGCUGAGUGAAAAUAGACUGCAGCCUUGAAAAGAUGUGGGCCCAAGCGUUUUGAGGGAGUGCAAAAAAAUUUCAGAAAUGUGUUAUUGAUGUUCAUGGGAAAAGCUGCAAUGGAUGAAGAUAGUUCAAAUAAAUGGAUCAAAAAGUUGCGGAAUCUGAUCAGAAGGACUACACAAAGAAGAAAGUUGAUCAUGAGGGACAUGCGUUCAACGCUAAGUUUGUAGAGAUGCAGUUGAGAUGUGAGAUUAACUAACUGGUUGUUCCCAGUGAUCUCGUGAGCAUUGUUCAAUUUUUUGGAUGUGAAUAUGAAUAAGUCUCUCAUUUAUUUUAUACUGCAUUUGUGGUGCAACUGGACAUUGAUAGGCAUGAAAAUCUUCACUAAAGAUGGAAAUAUGAGAGAAUCUGAACUACUAAAUUGUAUCAAUGCAUCAUAGAUGCAUGGAAUGAACUUGAUAACAUUAUUGGUCACAAAAUUCCUAAAAUGCGGAAAGUUGAAUGAGUUUGACAUCUUUGAAUCAUUUUUUGAAAUGAUUGAAGUUUGCUAUAUGUUCAUUUCAUGUUUUACAUUAAAUUGAAUUCAACAUU